rnacentral:piRNA from 1 species
CACACACCCAGAGCAUCUCGGAGUUCAGAC